CCCCCCCCCCUCGCCCGUACGGCUAUAAUCAGCCGUUGUUACGGAUCGCUUAUAUAUUGUGUUACUGUAAAAGUAUUUUGACUUUGUUGUUUCUGAUGACAUUUGCCGACUCUCGACUUUUUACUCUCGAUCGACUCUCGACUUUUUACUCUCGACUCUCGACUUUUUACUCUCGACUCUCGACUUUUACUCUCGACUCUCGACUUUUACUCUCGACUCUCUACUUUUACUCUCGACUCUCGACCUUUACUCUCGACUCUCGACC